rnacentral:rRNA from 1 species
GCAUAUCAAUAAGCGGAGGAAAAGAAACCAACAGGGAUUGCCCUAGUAACGGCGAGUGAAGCGGCAACAGCUCAAAUUUGAAAUCUGGCCUUUCAGGUCCGAGUUGUAAUUUGUAGAGGAUGCUUCGGCGUUGGACCCGACCUAAGUUCCUUGGAACAGGACGUCACAGAGGGUGAGAAUCCCGUACGUGGCCGGUGUCCCUCGCCAUGUGAAGCUCCUUCGACGAGUCGAGUUGUUUGGGAAUGCAGCUCUAAAUGGGAGGUAAAUUUCUUCUAAAGCUAAAUACUGGCCAGAGACCGAUAGCGCACAAGUAGAGUGAUCGAAAGAUGAAAAGCACUUUGGAAAGAGAGUUAAAAAGUACGUGAAAUUGUUGAAAGGGAAGCGCUUGCAAUCAGACCUGCCCGCGGUCGCUCAUCCAGGCUUCUGCCUGGUGCACUCUUCCGCGGUCAGGCCAGCAUCGGUUCGGGCGGUCGGACAAAGACGGCGGGAAUGUAGCUCCCCUCGGGGAGUGUUAUAGCCCGCCGUGUAAUGCGGCCAGUCCGGACCGAGGUCCGCGCUUCGGCUAGGAUGCUGGCGUAAUGGUUGUAAGCGGCCCGUCUUGAAACACGGACCAAGGAGUCUAACAUCUGUGCGAGUGUUUGGGUGUCAAGCCCGGACGCGUAAUGAAAGUGAACGGAGGCGGGAACCUUAGGGUGCACCGUCGACCGAUCCUGAUGUCUUCGGAUGGAUUUGAGUAAGAGCAUAGCUGUUGGGACCCGAAAGAUGGUGAACUAUGCCUGAAUAGGGUGAAGCCAGAGGAAACUCUGGUGGAGGCUCGCAGCGGUUCUGACGUGCAAAUCGAUCGUCAAAUUUGGGCAUAGGGGCGAAAGACUAAUCGAACUAUCUAGUAGCUGGUUCCUGCCGA